rnacentral:hammerhead_ribozyme from 1 species
AUCCAGCUGACGAGUGCCAAACAGGACGAAACACGCGUCCUGGAU